rnacentral:rRNA from 1 species
UACGUAGGGUGCGAGCGUUAAUCGGAAUUACUGGGCGUAAAGCGUGCGCAGGCGGUUAUUUAAGUCAGGUGUGAAAGCCCUGGGCUUAACCUAGGAAUUGCGCUUGAGACUGGAUAGCUUGGAGUGCGGCAGAGGGAGGUGGAAUUCCACGUGUAGCAGUGAAAUGCGUAGAGAUGUGGAGGAACACCGAUGGCGAAGGCAGCCUCCUGGGCCAGCACUGACGCUCAUGCACGAAGGCGUGGGGAGCGAACGGG